UUGAAGACACUUGACCGGAAACAAUACCCUUAUAAAUCAAACCACUGAUGAUUUCCAUACUUUGUGAACAACAUAGCUCAAUUAUUAAAGUUCGACCAAAUUGCUAUAUGAAUGUCAAGCUUACACAUGCUGACAGUAAUGGAACCUAACAAUUUCCCAAUAACUUCUACAUACAGAUAACAAGGAUUGAAAAAUUGACCUAUAACACUAAAGCUAAAUAAACAGCAAGAUCCAAAUAUAUCAUAGUCUCUAUAGUUCACAACUAAUUACAGCAUGAGAAUUCAAUUACUUAAAUGGAAUUUAACUAGGACUAUACCAUGAAUAAAUGAGGGAAUAUAAACAUCAAACAAAGAAACAAAGAACUAAAGCACGAUGGUGCUUCCAUUCCUUACAUCAUGAAGGGUUUAGAACUUGUACCUAGAAUUCGAAAAGAAAAGCAGAAAAAUGGAGAAUCAGCAACAGAACAGUAGCAGGCCAAUACCAGCAACACCAGCUCAACCAAGAUGAACUUGAAAAUAAAUAAAAGACAAUCCCACUCGAACAAUACCCAAAACAACUUCAAAAUUAAACCUCAAACACCCAAUCUCAGUCCAUUUUAAGACUAUAUCAAUCAGAAACUCUUUUCAGGAUUUAAAAACUGAAAGAAUUAUAGAGCGAAUUUCGAUGAAACACUAAGUUCACUCUAAUUUUCAGCCGUUUUCCCUUUUUCUGAAUUUUAGCUCUCUAAUCUCUUGGGUCUGCCUUGAAAGGCAAGAAAUGAUACAUUUAUAGGCAAGAAAGUAGGGCAGCCUCAACUUGCACUUUGCCCCCUUUCGAAUUUUGUUUUGUGCUUAAGUGUCCCUAGCUUAAUUUUCCAGAAAUCAAAUAGGUCCCAAGGUCAGCUUCUAAGAAGCUUCCUAUUUCUGUUACAGCAAGAUUCCCUAUGUUGAUUGCCCGGAAUACCCCUCAAACUCUGGUUAAUUACCUGUCAAAAUCUAGAACGGGUCCAAAUGUGGGUCACAUUGGCCCAACCAAAUUGGUAUGGGUCUGCAGACCCAAAUAAGAUCCUACUUAGUCUUUCGAUUUUUCAGAAACCAAUUAGAAACAGACAAGGAUCCCUAAAUUAAGAACUGACCCAGAAUUCCCAAGAGAAGAAACCCAGAACUUACCAAAGAAGAGGGAGAGAAAGAAGAAAAGGAAAACAAAACAUAGGACGGAACACAACUUGAACUCAGAAAUUAAACGAAUUUUAACCAAAUUAAAGAAAAGGGGGGUAACAGGAUAAUGAAACUGUGAGAGAAAGAAAAAUGCAAGGAGAGCGUAGGAACUUACCAAAUCGAACCAUCAAAACCAGACGGGGACAACGGACUCAACCAAACUUAUGCCGAUCCUUUAUUCUUUGUCAAGAACAACUGAACGACAUCAGUUUCGUUGAGUCCAAACCUCAAAGUUUGAAAGAAUUGCACUCCAUGAUUUUGCAUGUUACCAGACUUGACUAAAAUAUGACUUUGAAUCUUCUAAGGGUCAAACUCGGCCUCCAGAUUCGAAGAGUUUGGGGUUGAUUCGAGGUUAAAGGGUUGGAUAUUUGGGAUGGGGAGGUUGUGGAUGUGUUGUGGUAUUAGUUUGGUGAGGAUUGGAGUGGCCUAUGGCAUCGCCACUGGGCCGAGGCGGUGG
rnacentral:lncRNA from 1 species